rnacentral:lncRNA from 1 species
AGGGUGGAGGAACCAUGCGGUAUCCAUCACAGAAAGUGGAGCAGGAUCGUGGCCAUUAUUUUGGUCUACCAGGGAGUGAUGGAGCCGCACAAAAUCCGUCGCAAGAAGUGGAGCAGAGUCGUGGCCAUUACUGCGGCCUGCCAUGGAGUGAUGGAGCCACGCGGAAUCCAUUGUAGGAAGUGGAGCAGAGUCAUGGCUGUUACUGCAGCCUGCUAGGGGGUCCAGGCCUGUC